rnacentral:sRNA from 1 species
UAUGAAAUAUUUUUGUAUCAUUCUCUUUGUCAAGGAUAUUAAUAAUAUGUUGAAUGGCCAUAUAAUAUCUUAUUUAGUUUGCUUCUUUGUUGAAAAAUCUCGAAUACUCAGAUAUCUCGAAGUUUUUAAACAGUCCCAUCUAGUUCGAGAUGACUGAAGUUUGACCGUAUAUACCUUUAAAGAAUUGCAUGCCAUUGAUGUUAAGACUUAAUGAGAUUUAUGCACUCAGUAAUUUGAUACCAACUUGAAAAUCAUGCAAUUAAAUAUUUUUUAAAAUUAUACAUGUAUGUGGAAAUAUACAUGUGCAUUAAAUUGUAUGAAAUGAAAAACUCAAUUUAAGAUCACACAUUAUCUUUAACUGUUCUAUUUACAUGUAUCUGGUAUGUACAUAUACAUGAAUGUAUAUAGAUUUAUUUUAUUUGCUAAUUUUUUUUAUAAAAUACAUUGUACAUGCAUGCAUAAAAACAUUUUCAUUUUUUUUUUCAAUGACAAUUUUCCAAAAGUUGUAAGAAGACAAUAUGCAUGUUCAUUGAAAGAAAAAUUAAUUGUAUAAGUUUACAUAUACAUAUGUAUAUAACUAUAUAUAUAUAUGUAGUGAUGAAUUCGAAGGAUUUUUAUUGACUCUAGUACAUGUAUCUGUAUUAUAUAUAACUGUAUGUAGUGUUGAAGGUUUUUUUAUUCACUCAAGUUGCUGUAUUAUUAAUAUUAGCAAACAGUUUCUACCAAAUGGUAUCGAUAGUAUAUUUUUGUCAAAAUUGAAUAUUCGAUUUAUGAAAUUAGGGGGUCAUUUUAGCUUCUUUUUUUGCCUCUUAACAAAUUUCUGAAUCAUUUAUUUAACCUAAUUUGUUAAAUUAAUUUGUUUGGUUUUAGCUGUAAGCAAUCAUAGAAAAAUUCAACUAGUAUGUACUGUGAUUAGAGAAGAACAUGUACUGGUAUAUAUAGAUUUUGUAAGUUUCAAGAUUGUUAUAAAGACCACCUGUAAUGUUGAUCACCUCUUCAAUGAUUUCUUUUAACAAGUUUCAUCAAUAUGCUUACAUUGAUUACCAUAUUUGUAUUAAAAUUAUUCAUGUUGUGUAUUCUUGCCAUUUGAAACCUAGAUGUAAACAUGCAAUCCAAUCUCUAGUCAUUAUAAAUGUUAUUAUGAUAUAAUUGGUUUUUUUUUAAAGAAUAAAUUUGUUGUUUAAUC